rnacentral:rRNA from 1 species
AUUGAACGCUGGCGGAAUGCUUUACACAUGCAAGUCGAACGGUAGAGGGGGCAACCCCUUGAGAGUGGCGAACGGGUGGGUAAUGUAUCGGAACGUGCCCAGUCGUGGGGGAUAACGUAGUGAAAAUUACGCUAAUACCGCAUACGAUCUAUGGAUGAAAGCGGGGGAUCGCAAGACCUCGCGCGAUUGGAGCGGCCGAUAUCAGAUUAGGUAGUUGGUGGGGUAAAGGCUCACCAAGCCAACGAUCUGUAGCUGGUCUGAGAGGACGACCAGCCACACUGGAACUGAGACACGGUCCAGACUCCUACGGGAGGCAGCAGUGGGGAAUUUUGGACAAUGGACGCAAGUCUGAUCCAGCUAUUCCGCGUGCAGGACGAAGGCCUUCGGGUUGUAAACUGCUUUUGUACGGAACGAAAAAGCUCUUAUUAAUACUAGGAGUCCAUGACGGUACCGUAAGAAUAAGCACCGGCUAACUACGUGCCAGCAGCCGCAGUAA